UCGAUUUCUAUUUGCUUUUUCUCUUUUCUCUCUGUCUGAGCCUCGCGCAGUGCAUCUGACCUCUGACCUCAACUCCUCAAACCUGUCCUCCCAUGGACCAGAUGAUGUCCCUCCUACAAAAGCAGCCGAUGAAAAUGAUCGAGAAGGUCUGGAGGAUCAAGAAGACAGAAAAGACCUCCAACACCUCCAGGGGACAACUGUCAGUCUCCUGUUGGGCAUUUGGACUGAAAACUGUGUGAAACUGAGCUUUAACAACCUCUGCUGGUCUGCUGUCCAGUAUCAGCGUAGAGGAAGAAAAGCUAAACAUGCUUCAGAGCUGUGAGAGAAGACGACUGGCGAGUGACCAAAGCGGAGAGUGAAGAUUUACACUUUUCUGACAGGAGAUUGUUCUGGAAGCUGUGGCCUUGUGGCAGCAUGUCACCACGGCACACACUCUCUGAUCCUUCAGCGGCCCGGCGAUCCCUGGAGCCCAAAGGGAAGUAGGGCACUGGAGGUGAAGCAGGAUGAGUCAGGAAAACUGUCUUCCAUGUGGAUGACAUUCCUCAAAUUCCAAAUUCCUGCAUUUGGAGUUGGAGCUUUUGAAGAAUGCGGCGGCCCUGCUUAAUGAAGCCCCCGCGCCGCGGCUUCUCUCUAAUUAGUCGACUCCAGUAAUGGCCGGAAUCUGCCGUCAAACAAAGCAGCUGAAUACCUGAUGGCUACCAAUCAUGCUCUCUUCUUAUUCAUGGGAAAAAUACCAGGAACUUUUAUUUCGCUGACUGUCACGGCCCCAAUUAGGAGGGACG